CUCAAUACAAAGAUAGUAAUUAGUGAAUAUUUAUUUAUUUUAGUUCAAAUAUGUCUUGUUAUAGGCCAAUUUUGGGCCAUUUUUUAAGAUAACUCGGGCCCAGUUACAUUUACAAAUUAAACCCAAUACAAAGUGGUCCACAAUAGCCCAAUACAUUACCCAAAACAACAAAAACCCAUCAGACCAAAUACAACUAACCCCUACCCAAUACCAUUAACCCAUUUAAACCCUUAAACCUAUUAAACCCUAACCCAACAUCAGACCCAAUACAAAACAGCCCAAAUUGAACCCAAACUAACCUAAACCCAAAAGCCGACAAGCUCACUAACCCAAUAACCCCAAAUCCCAUCAGCUAACCUUAACCCUAACCUGCAACGCCGCAACCACCCCCACUUGCCCCUGAUUAACCGGCCACCUACCCUCUGACAGCGCCACUCCCUGCACCAUCGGUCAUCUCCAUCGCCGUUCACCUACAAGGAAGAGACAGAAACAAUAUUAUAAUGAAUGUAAAGGGUUAUAAAACCCGAAUGAAAUUUGUAAAAGGGGGGUUCUUUUUUUCGAAUAUUCAAAAAAAAAACCUAAACAAUACAAACACAAAUCUAUAUUGAGAAGCAAUCUAAUCAAUAUCCAAGCAAAAGAAUAGAACAAGAUCAAACACAAUAUCAAGAAAUCGAAGAGCAAAAAAAUAGAAGAGGUUGAUCUAUUCUCUUUUUCUUUCGAUUUUGUUUCUUUUAUUUUUCAUAUUACAAAUUUAUUAAUUUCAAGCAACGAAUAAUAAAAGAAAAGGGACUCACCUGAACCCCGAAGACGCGAGGAUUGAACUCUUGCUCCGUCGUGGGAAUUGUCCCCAAAGGGGAAGACGGGGUUCCUUCUUUCACGCUCUCGAGGUUAAAAGAGCAUUGUAUUUGGAUGUUCUAAUGACCAGGAUUAAAAACCCCUCUUCGAGCAACUCCGAUCGCCCCUUACGGCGACGCGACGGCGGUGGCAACGCUGGGUUCUCUAACCCUAGCAGAGAAAGAAUAUGAAAAGGGGGGAGGGGUGUUCUGUUUAGGAAAAUGAAAUAAAAAGAAUAAAAAACUGGUUUAAAGGAUGCAGUAAAACAGUGCCGUGCUGGCACUAAGGCCACCAGCGAUUGAAACGGCAUCGUUUGUUCGCAUGACCCGAUCCAUACCCGGGAAAUCCGCGCGUUUCCCAUUAUUGGGAUAUUCACGCGCGAGGUCCCUCAGUUCUGUGGAGCGCUAUAAAUUGGUUUUUUUAAUUUGUUAAAUUGGGCCACAAAAUUUUCUAAACUUUUCAAAUUAAUCCCAAUAUACUAGAACUUGGGUACGCGCCCAGGAAUGGUUUUUUUUUACAUGGUCCUCCUAUUUCGUUUGCGCGUGCAAGUUAGCCCAUGUCUCUUUUGUUUGUUAUUUUAUUUUAUUUUUACUUUGGGUUCACCCCAAAUAUUUUGUUUUAGUUCAAUCUAAUCCCCCUUUUAGUUAUUUUUACUACUUUAUGGUUAAAAUUAAUUGAUCAUGAUUAAUAUCAAUGUAUAAUUGUAUUAUAUAUAUGUAAGCAUAUUUAAUGUAUGUAUGUGUAUUUAUUUAUAUAGUAUAUUUAAUAAUCAUUUUGUUGUAUUGUUAUUAUCUCUAAUGAGUACAUAUUUCAUACAUAUAUUUUAAUACUAUAUUUCGUUUACAUUUUUAUAUAUAUACUACGUACAUAUGUUUUCUAACAAAUUUUUUUAUUAUAUAUAUUAUCAUGUAUAUAUUUUGAUAUUAUUAGUUAUAUAUAAUUUUCAUAUACCAUUUCGUGGAUAUAUACUUAUAUUAUCCUUAUUAUUAUUAUUAAUAUAUAUUUUAUUAUAUACGUAUAGACAUGCUUUUUACUAUUGUACAUGAUUAUAAUUUAUUUUUAACAUAUUAUUGUUUUAUUUUCUUUAUGUCAUUAUUAUUUUUAAUACAUGCGUAUAUAUAUAUUACAUGUAUAUUCUUUUAAUAGAUAAUAUAUAUAUAUUUCAUAUAUUAUUCUUAACUUUGCAUUAUGUAUGUAUUUUUUUAUAUACUACUAUGUAAAUGUUUUUAAUACUCUUAUAUUCUUAUACUAUGUGUACUAUAUGUAUUAUUAUUUUAUUAUAGGUAUUACGUAUAUGUUUUUUUAUAUAUCAUAUUAUUCAUGUAUUUUAUCAUACAUGUAUAUAUCUUUAAUAUAUAUACAGGUAUAUCUUUAUAUUAGUAUUAUUAUUAAUAUCAUUAUGUUUUCUUUCAACAUUAUAAUUAUGCAUGUAUAUAUUAUAUGAGUGUUUUAACAUUGUAUUGUAUACGUAUUUUCAUAUAUUAUGUGUAUAUAUAUACCUUCUAAAUAUUGUAUUUUUAUACAAAUCAUGUACCUAUUUCGAAUAUUAUAUAGCAUAUUUCUAAUACUAUUAUUAUUUACAUAUAUAUAUUCUACGUACAUAUUCUUAAUAUCAUUAUCAUAUAUAUGUAUUCGUUGUUUCCAUUUCAUAUUUAAUUCUAGUAUUACAUUUAAUAUUGCGUGUAUCUUUAUUGUUUUUAGUAUGUUUGUCGCACUUACAUUUGCCUCAAUAUGUUUCUAGUUCUGUUAUUUAUUUAUUUUUAUCAAUUUGCUUUGCAUUACCUCAAAAAUCAUAUUCUUGUUUCCUAAUUAAUAAUCAAGGUAACGAACCAAUUUAACACAAAGUCACUAAUUUCAUCGCUAUGUUGGGUGAACAUCAAUCGACUCUGUUGAAACGGUACGUCCUUCUCAAAAAAAGAAAAAAUCAAAAAGAUUGAAAUAUCUUGUCUUUUCAAAUGGAUCACGAUCAAAUCUUAUAUUGAACUCGUAUUUUUGAAAAUCAAGACAACAUGUGUUUAUAAGAUACCAAUUUUGGGCAUCGUGAGGGUGCUAAUACCUUCCUCGCGCGUAACCGACUCCCGAACCCUAAUUUUUCUCUGAAUUUUAACGUAGGCCCAAACUCAGCCUUUUAUUUGUUUUAGUAAGAGAUCUAAUAGGUGUCUGAUCACACCUAAAAAAAAGGAUCGGUAGCUACUUCUUGUUUAUUUUAAAAUCAAACUUCAGUUUUCAAGUUUUCAAUAGAUCGCCACAAUUAGCGACCAAGCUAAAAUUUUCACGUCGCUACAGCUGGCGACUCCGCUGGGGACCUGCAUUUUUGAGAGUCAAGUCGAAUUAAACGUGUGUUGUCAAAAUUUUCAAAAUUCCUUGCUCAAAUUAAUAUUUAGUCGUGAUCCUAAAAUUGUGUUUUUGAAAAAUCAUGCAUUUGCAUUGUGUUGUAUAUAUUCUUCUAACUUGUUUUGUCCGGUUGUUUUAAAGCUUUAAAUUCUUAUGAUUUUAGUUUUGGUUUAGUUUUUAAAUAAAACGUAAAGGUUUGUGAGUUUCUCCCCACACACCGUGCACGUGUAUUCUUGCAUAACAUGAGCUCUAUACCCGGGCUCCAUCCGUUUAAGUGAAAGUAAACGCUAUGCCUUCGUGAGUUAACUCGUCCCUCUGCACAGGCUAGUGAAUACUUUCGAAUUACAUAUGACUUAUGCUUUCGUGAGUUAACUUGUCCCUCCGUAUAGGCAUAAGUAAAUGUAAUCCCUUGAAUUGAACUCGUGAGCCUAUGAUGGGCUAUGACCGAGGUUUCAUAAUAAUCUUAGUAGAUGACAGUACGGACAAUUCGAGUACCUAUCUAGAACCGAAACCGCAUAUAGUGAACCGUACGAGCCACUUAAUUAGAGCGAUACCGAACCUCCGUCCGUUAAUAGUCACCAAAAUAAGUACACAGGAGAAAUGCCUCUUGUCUCUCAUUUUCUUUACAUUUACACUGUUUAUGCAAAAGAACUGAAUCGGAUAGCUUAAUUUGUUUCUCAAUGUAUAAUUGUUGUGGUUACUAACCAAGUUUGUUUGUUUUCAUUCUUAUUUUACAUCAUGCAUUAUAGGCAUCAUAUUAGGAAUGUGUUGACUAGAGAUUUGGUUGCCAAAAAAUGGGUUUCUAAUGGAAGAGUUAAUUAUACAAACAACCGAGAAGAAUGCCGUGGUUCGAGACUGGUCUCUAAAAACUCAGAAAGGAAAAGGGGAUAGUCUAGUGGAGGGAUGUAUUGCUAAUCUGCCCGAGCACGUAACCGUGAAUGUUUGCCAGAAUAACCUUGAAGAUUUGGUUCAGGUUUGGAAUCAGUAGAAUUCGGACACUAGGGGUAUCUUCACCGAGAGAUAUGGAGACAUAGCCAAUUUGAUUGCUGUCAACGUAGACGAACGAUUGAUCCAAGCCAUAGUCAGAUUUUGGAAUCCGGCUUACCAAUGUUUUACCUUCAAUCAAGAAGAUAUGACUCCGACUAUAGAGGAGUACGUUGCUUUGCUUCGUGUUGAAAAUGCGCAAUUCCAUAAAGUAUAUGUGAAGGAGCCUAAGCUGAUGACCUUCAAGAAGAAGUUAGUAAGAUUGACAGACAUGGCUGACGCAUGGGCCGAAAAAUAGAUAAAGAAGAAGAAUGAAACCAUUUGCAUUCCAUGGUCUUCCCUACGAUAUUUAGUUCUGAACCAUCCCGACAUGUUGAAAAGGGUAAAUCUAUUUGCUUUGGCCAUUUACGGUUUGAUCAUCUUCCCGAAAGUCCUUGACACAUAGAAGUUGCGGUGGUGGAUUUUUUCGAAAGAUUAAAGCAAUGAAUCAACCCUAUCCCGACUAUCUUAGCCGACACCUUCAGAUCCUUAAACAAUUGUAGGAAAGAGGGGAAUGGACGUUUUAUCUGACGCCCACAGUUACUAAAUGUAUGGAUUUUGAGUCACUUCUGGAAAGUAGAGCGCACACCGUUCCAUAUGUUUUCAAAAAUAUUUUCCCCGUUGGAAGCUUAUCUCAAGAAAGAAUGGCCAAAGGAUGUCACUGAAGAACAUUGGGUUUUAGUUUUUCAGAACCUUCGAGCUGAGGAUAUAACGUGAAGAGCACCGUGGAUACGCCAUUCGGUUCUGCUAUAUAAGGUCGGUGAUCAAGAUUGGGUACCACUACUCGAGUUAUGGGGAGGAGUUGGAUAUGCCCCGCUAUUAGUCCAAAGACAAUUUUCUUCGCGACAAUUCAUACCCGCCACUGGAGGAUUAGCACAGUCCGAGUUCGCUUUUGCGGGUGAAGGGUAUAUGAAGAGGGUCCGAGACACUGCAAAGUCUUAGAAGAAAAUUUAUCUGAUGGAAUUGGUUCUAUAUGCUGAUACCCUCACCCAAGAUUACGACAUCUGGAGGAAGUAACGGGUGAAUAGUCAGCAAAUCUCGUCAACGAACUACACCGUCCAGAAUCCUUUCUCAGAAGAAAUGCCGUCUGAGCUAGAAAUUGCAAGACAAGAAUUUGAACGAAAAAAGGCCAAGAUGACUCGGGACCUUAGUUCUCUUCAAGAAGAAAACUACCAAUUGAAGACCGACGUUCAAAUUGAAAGAUCCAGAACCGAGAAAAUACAAAAAGAGGCUGAAGUCGUAAGAAAUGACUUAAGAGAUCUUCAUCUGGAAAAUAAGAAGUUAAGAAGCACAAUAAAGAAUAGUGGGCUGGGUAAGUCGUCGGCAGAAUGGAAGGAAGAAAUAAGAACAUUAAAGGCGGAAUGGAAUUUUGGAAAGAAAAAGUGAAGAAAGAGGAGGAAAAGGCUGCCCGGGCUAUGAUAGAACUGAGGAAGAAGAACACCGAAUGUGAAGCUGUGUCUACUGAGGUAAUGACUAGUCGAUCCAAAUGUCAAGAACUAAAAGAAAGGAUAUGAGAGUUAGAAGAUAUGCUGCAAGAUCGUCAACAACAGCCAGAUACUCUCUUAAAGGCUUUGGAAGAAAAAGAUAGUCAGUAUGAUAGAGACGUUCGUGCUUACGAAGAGGGCCUCCAAGAAAAAGAAAUGCAACUUAGCUAUUUGAUCAAUGAAGUUCUUGGGGUAGCCAUGCACGUGGUACAAUUAUCGGAAGAAGCUGAAAUUCUCAUUUGCCAAUUCCCUCUAAGUUAAAGAUCAAACAUAUCAGAGUUCUUAGCGCGAGUAAAGAAAUACAACGAUAUAACUAGGAAGUUUGUGUAAUAGCUGAAUCAAAAAUGGUAAAAUAUUUUGUAAUGAACUCUUUUGAUGAAUGAAAUGCCUAAAAUAGGGGCUAUCUUGAAAUCAACACCAACUUCUUGCAUUUCUUUCAUGAUUAAACAUUCAUUUGACAUUUAUGCAUUCAUUCAUUCAUUCAUUGCAUAUCCCAUAAUCAUUCGCUGAGGUUAAAACAUACAAUUCGCAGUUGUAAUACCACGAGACUGGAACCGCGUCAUUCGUAUAGAAUGCGUCAACAAGCUAGGGCAAUGAAGGCUGAAUUCAAUGAAAGAAUCGAAAGAAUGGAAAGAGUUCAGAGGGAAUUACAAGAGCAGUUGGCCAAGUCGCAGUAAGAGACAAGAGAUUUAAUGGUGAAGUCUCGAGAAGAAUCGCUUGAACAAAAAGACCAAAUGGCUAAUAUGAUGGAGAUGAUGUCAGCUUUAGUUAAAGGAAAGGGACCCAUGCAGAGCCCUGACGUCGAGGAACCUCGAUCAAGAGCUAAUCACAGUCAAGAUCCACUCUAUCCCCUAGGAUUCACUCCGCCGCAUGCCCACGCAACACAAAGAGGGUACACCCAAGGGGAACCCACAGACCUGGAGCAACGGGCGGUGCCACCUGCUCACAUAGGGCAAGGAAUGUUUGUAUCAAACCUGGAGGCUAGUCCUGCUGAUCCACUCGUUCCAGAUUUGGACGAUCCAGCAGAAAUAGCCAAGUUGAAAACCAUUGACCACGAGGCUCAAGAGAAGUACAGGAGCUUAGAGGAAAGACUCAAAGCAAUAGAGGGUACUGAAGCCUUCUCUGCACUAAGUGCCAAAGAGCUUAGUUUGGUGCCCGAUCUAGUUCUGCCUCCGAAGUUUAAAGUGUCUGAUUUCGAAAAAUACGAUGGCACGAGAUGUUCGAAGGCUCAUCUUGUUAUGUUUUGUUAAAAAAUGACUGGUUACGUAAAUGAAGACAAGCUACUCAUACAUUGUUUUUAGGAUAGUCUAGUAGGAUAGGCUCUUCGGUGGUACAACCAGCUUAGUAGGGAAAAGAUCCGAUCCUGGAGAAACUUGGCAUCAGUAUUCUGUGAGCAAUACAAUCAUGUAUUGGAUAUGGUGCCAGACCGGAUGACUUUGCAAAUGAUGGAGAAAAAGCCGUCAGAAACUUUUAGAUAGUAUGCGCAGAGAUGGAGGGACAUCUCGGCCCAAGUGGAACCCCCACUAAUAAAAAUGGAGAUAACCGUUCUCUUCAUCAACACUUUGAAAGCGCCGUUUUAUGACAAAUUAGUAGGAAGUGCCACGAAAGACUUUGCGGAUAUUGUAAUAUCCGGUGAGCUUAUAGAGAAUGCCAUCAAAAGUGGGAGGAUGGAAGGUUCAGAAAGUUCAAAAAGGGCAGCGCCCAUGAACAAAAAAGAACCAGAAGCCCAUAUGGUGGGAAUGGGAAGCCGUUAUACCCCUAAUUCAUAUCCAAAUCAACCCCGACCUCGAAAUUAUCCACCUCCGAAUUUCUAUUAUCCUCUUCAGACCCCUUACUACCAAGCACCACCUCCUUCCUACCCUGUAUACGCUAUGAAUAACCAAAGGCCCGUCACUAUAUUCCCACAAAACAUUCUACCCGCUCAAAGCCAACCCAAAAAUGAACCAAGACCAACAAGGCCCAAUCCCGAGAAAUAGCAAUUCACCCCUAUUCCUGUGUCGUAUGGAAACUGUACCCAGAACUCCUAGAGAAGCAAUUAAUAUCUCCCCAUUACAUGGUACCCCUUAAACCUCUAUACCCGAAAUGGUACGAUCCAAAUGCUAGUUGUGCAUACCAUGCCAUGAACCAGGGGCACUCUACGAAAAACUACCUAGCCUUCAAAAUGAGAGUUCAAGGACUCAUCGAUGCGGGUAUUCUGCGUUUUGAUGGCACCGACGGUACAUCCAGGAACCCAUUCUCAAACCACACCGAAGGGAAUGUGAGCGCAGUGGGAGAGGAGGACAAACGACAAAAUAGAAGAUGGGUUUCUGAAAUAAGAACACCUCUGCAGAAAAUCUGGGAGGUGCUAGUUGAAAAGGGGUUGCUCUGUCAUCUUAACAGAGUAUUCGAGGGAAGGCAUACAAAAGAUCAAUUUUUUGGGAAUUCCAUAGUAUUGAGGGGCACGACAUUCAAUCCUACGAAGAAUUCAAGAGAUUACUGCAAAAUAUGAUGGACAAUAAGGAGAUUGAGAUUUUUUAUAAAGGUAAAGAGGCCGAUAGAGGAGAAAUAUGUGCCUCUGACAAUCAAUCGUCAAGUUUCCCGUAUAGCACCGACCGACUGUUAAUAAUCUAUUAUAACACGAAGAAGGAGCUGGUGAAACCAAAAGUGAUAAUCGAAGUACCAUCUCCUUUCCCCUACAAGGACAAUAAAGCAGUACUAUGAAAAUACGACGUCAAUAUCGUCACAUAUGAAUAUGAAAAACCCAAAGCCAUGACUGGAAGCGUUGGGGAAGUAGGUCAUUUCACUCGUAGUGGAAGAUGUUAUUUGAAAGAGGUCGAAUCAGUGAAGAAGAACAGUGACUUGAAAUAGAAAGGAAAAGCACCGAUGCACGUGACCGAAGAUGAGAAUGAAACUGUACCUGAACAAGAAGCUAAAAAGCCUGUGGACGAGAAGGAAGCAUAGGAAUUCUUAAAAUUUAUCAAGCACAGUGAGUACAAUGUGGUAGAACAAUUGAGUAAGCAGCCAGUGCGAAUCUCGGUAUUAUCUCUACUGUUGAAUUCAGAACCACACCGGAACGCUCUGCUAAAAGUGUUAAAUCAAGCUUAUGUGGCAAACAAUAUAUCCGUUGAAAAAUUGGAUAGGUGGGUGAACAACUUGAAUGCGGAUAAUUUUAUUUCUUUUAGUGAUGAUGAAAUACCGCCCAAUGGUAGAGGUUCAGUGAAAGCAUUGCAUAUCACAACCCGUUGUAAGGGCUAUAUAAUAUCGAACAUGCUCAUCGACAAUGGGUCGGCACUUAACGUCAUGCCUCUGGCCACACUUUCUAGGAUACCGAUGGAUUUAUCCUAUCUGAGGCCCUGCCAUUCUACAGUAAGGGCAUUUGAUAGAACAAGACGUGAAGUCAUGAGAAAAAUUGAGAUCCCUUUAGAAGUGGGUCCCUACAUAUAUGAUGUUGAAUUUCAAGUCAUGGAUAUUACACCAUCAUACAAUUGUCUCUUGGGAAGACCUUGGAUCCAUUCUGCCGGAGCAGUCCCAUCAUCCCUCAAUCAAAAGGUGAAAUUUAUCAUGGAUGGCUGUUUGGUCACCGUCGAGGGAGAAGAAGAUAUUGUAGCAUCUAUUUCUACCAACGCACCAUACAUUGAGGUGAGUAAAGAUGCUUUAGAAUGUUCCUUCUGAUCCCUUGAAUUUGUCAAUGCCACAUUCGUCGCUGAGGGAGACAAAAUUUCGGCGUCAAAACUUUCGAGAAAUACCAGAAUGGGUGUCAUAUUGACUGUAGGAAGAGGAGCCCGAGCAAGAAAAGGUUUAGGGAGAUAUCUGCAAGAAAUAUUCAGGGCUCUAAAGCCAGUACACCACAAGGCCCGAUACGAUUUGGGGUUCCAACCAGAUGUGCGUUAAAGAAGAAAACAGUGGAAGAAGGAUUAGGAGAGAAGGAUUGCGAGAACUUUGGGCCGAGAAAUAGAAUGGAAGCCCAUAACAUAUCCUCCUUUGUCAAAAACAUUUACAUCUGCGGGAAUGAUAUACCCCGAACAAGAUAAUAUACAAAGCACACUGUUAUUAAUUGAAAGGGGUCUUCAGAAUAUCAGUAUAAAUGUCAUUGACAAAGGAAGUGAGGCUAUUAAAGAUGUUUCAACGAUACGCCCUUGUCCUCCUGGUUUCAUGUUGAACAAUUGGACUACUGAGGACCUUCUUGUAGUUUAUAAGUCUUCAGAGUAAUGCUCAAACAUUAACCCUCUAUUGUGUCCUUAGAUAUAAUAGAAUUAUUUUGUAAGAGCUUGCAUUCGCUCUUUAUCAUUUAAAUGAAUAUCAAUGAAGAUGUAUUUUGUCACGAUCUUUCGCAUUAUCACUAAUUUCAUAAUCAUCUCCUCAUUUCAUAGCCUAUCUAUACAUUUGCCUCAUAUCAUGUCAUAACUUUUCGUUUGUUGGUUCUAAUACUGGGAUGCCCCUCUAUAGUUUCCUUUUCCAUUUAACUUUCAGGUGCUCAGAUAUCAAUGGCAUGAACAAACCCGUUACGAGUCCUGAAAUCGAUUUUAAGAAGGCUAUUUAUUUAGGAGAAUUCGAAGCCGAAGAAAAUGCUGAAGACUAUGUCUCGUCUCCUGACUUGCUAAGAAUGGUGGAACAAGAGGAUAAACAGAUUUUUCCUCAUCAAGAAUCUGUUGAAACAAUAAAUUUGGGAACUGAAGAAAGGAAGCAAGAAGUGAAGAUUGGCACCACCAUUUCAGGGGGCACCAGGCAUAAUUUGAUUGCUUUGCUUCUUGAGUACAAAGAUGUAUUUGCAUGGUCAUAUCAGGACAUGCCAGGAUUGGAUGAAGAUGUAGUGGUCCAUAAGCUCCCAAUAAAGCCAUAAUGUAAACCCAUUCAACAAAAGUUAAGACGGAUGAAACCCGAAAUAUUGUUGAAAAUAAAAGAGAAAGUCAAGAAGCAAUUUGAUGCUGGCUUCCUACAAGCAUCCAAAUAUCCAGAAUGGGUGGCUAAGAUAGUUCCAGUACCAAAGAAAGACGGCAAAGUACGAAUAUGCGUAGAUUAUCGUGACUUGAAUCGAGCAAGUCCUAAAGAUAAUUUUCCCUUACCACACAUUGAUACGUUGGUGGAUAACACAGCAAAGCAUUCAUUGUUUUCUUUCAUGGAUGGAUUCUCGGGGUAUAAUCAGAUCAAGAUGGCCCCCGAAGAUAUGGAGAAAACUACUUUCAUAACAAUGUGGGGAACAUUCUGCUAAAAGGUAAUACCGUUCGGAUUAAAGAAUGCUGGGGAAACAUAUCAGAGGGCUAUGGUGACGUUAUUCCAUGACAUGAUGCAUAAAGAAAUAGAGGUCUAUGUCGACGAUAUGAUUGCUAAAUCCCGAGGGGAAGAAGAGCAUGUAGUGAACCUGAAGAAGUUGUUCGACAGACUGAGAAAGUUCCAGCUAAAGCUCAAUCCGGCCAAAUGUACGUUUGGGGCUACCUCAGAAAAAUUGCUUGGCUUCAUUGUCAGCGAGAGAGGCAUUGAAAUUGAUCCAGAUAAAAUAAAAGCCAUUCAAGAGUUACCACAUCCGCGCACGCAAAAGGAAGUCAGAGGAUUUUUAGGGAGGUUGAACUACAUCGCUCGGUUCAUUGCUCAACUUACAAACCAAUGUGACCCAAUCUUUCGGCUUCUUCGAAAACACAACCCGGGAGAAUGGAAUGAGGAAUGCCAAGUGGCUUUUGAUAAGAUAAAACAAUAUUUGUCUAGUCCUCCAGUGCUAGUACCGCUAACCCUGGGAAGACCAUUGAUAUUUUUUAUUUGACUGUGUUUGAAAAUUCAAUGGGUUACGUAUUGGGACAACACGACGAGCCAGGAAAGAAAGAAAAGGCGAUUUACUACCUCAGCAAAAAGUUCACUGGAUAUGAGGCAAAGUAUUCGUCUAUUGAAAAAUACUGUUGUACUCUGGUUUGGGUAGCUUGGAGACUCAGGCAAUAUAUGCUGUAUCAUAUGACAUGGCUAAUUUUAAAGUUAGACCCAAUAAAGUACAUGGUGGAAUCACCUGCACUCUCAGGAAGAAUGGCACGAUGGCAGAUCUUACUAUCAGAAUAUGACAUCGUCUAUGUGAGCCAAAAGUCGAUAAAAGGGAGCGCAAUAGCUGACUUCAUAGCAACUCGAACAACAGAAGAAUACGAGCCAUUGAGAUUUGAUUUCCCAAAUGAAGACUUGAUGUGUAUUACAGAAAAAGAAUGUGAGUCAUCAAAAGAAAAGUCAUGGAAGAUGAGAUUUGAUGGUGCAUCGAGUGCAUUGGGGCAUGGGAUUGGAGCAUUCUUAGUAUCACUAGAAGGGAACCAUUAUCCGUUCACUGCCAGGCUGAAUUUCUUCUGUACCAAUAACAUAGCGGAAUAUGAGGCCUGUAUCAUGGGACUUCGCGCAGUAAUUGAACGAAACAUCCAAACUUUAGAGGUAUACGGAGACUCAGCAUUGGUGAUUUAUCAGAUCCGUAGAGAUUGGGAAGUGAGGGAUUCAAAAUUAAUCAAAUACAGUGAUCUCGUGACAGGGCUGACUAAAGAAUUCAAAGAAAUAACCUUUAAUUACUUCCCACGAGAAGAAAACUAGUUAGCUGAUGCCCUAGCCACUUUGGCUUUAAUGUUUAAAGCAAACAGAGAAACAGAAAUAAUGCCUCUUCAAAUGAGCAUAUAUGAAGUCCCUGCACAUUGUUUCAGCAUUGAAAAAGAGCCAGAUGGACGGCCAUGGUUUCAUGAUGUCUUAGAAUAUAUCAAGAAUCAAAAGUAUCCCGAACAAGUAAAUAAAAACAACAAAAGAAUAAUCAGAAGAAUGGCAGCGGGAUUUGUUCUUGAUGGGGACAUCCUGUACAAAAGAGGAAAAGAUCAGGUGCUCUUGAGAUGCGUGGAUACUGUUGAAGCUAGGGAAAUACUUGAAGAUAUCCAUGAAGGAAUUUGUGGGACACAUGCCAAUGGUUUCACUACGGCCAGGAAGAUUAUGAGACUCGGUUAUUAUUGGCUGAUGAUGGACAGUGACUGCAUUAGUUUUGCAAGAAAAUGCCACAAAUGCCAAAUUUACGGCGAUAAAAUCCAUGUAACCCCUUUGCCCCUUCAUGUCAUGACUUCUCCAUGGCCUUUUUCUAUGUGGGGCAUGGAUGUUAUAGGGCCAAUUUCCUCAAAAGCUUCUAAUGGACACCAGUUUAUCUUUGUGGUUAUUGAUUACUUCACAAAAUGGAUAGAAGUCGCUUCGUUUGCCAAUGUGACGAAGACCGCAGUUUGUAGGUUUUUGAAAAAGGAAAUCAUUUGUCGAUAUGGUUUGCCUGAAAGAAUCAUUUCAGAUAAUGCCAUGAAUCUGAACAACAAGAUGAUGAAGGAGGUGUGUGAACAAUUCCAAAUAAAGUAUCAUAACUCAUCACCCUAUCGCCUGAAAAUGAACGGAGCUGUUGAAGCGGCCAACAAGAAUAUUAAGAAGAUUAUUGGAAAAAUGACCGAGAAAUAUAAAGACUGGCACGAGAAGCUACCAUUUUCUUUGUAUGCAUAUCGCACAUUUGUGCGAACAUCUACGGGAGCAACUCCUUUCUCUCUGGUCUAUGGAAUGGAAGCUGUGCUACCCAUCGAAGUUGAGAUCCCCUCUCUACGAGUCUUAAUGGAAUCAAAACUAGAAGAAGCAGAAUGGGUUCGAGCUCGAUAUGACCAGUUAAACCUUAUUGAAGAAAAAUGUCUGAAGGCAAUCUGCCAUGGACAGAUGUACCAGAAGAGAAUGAUCACAACCCACGAUAAGAAAGUACGGCCAAGAGAAUUCCACGAAGGGGAACUCGUGCUAAGAAAGAUUCUCCCAAUACAAAAAGACUUCUGAGGAAAAUGGGCACCAAAUUGGGAAGGUCCAUACGUUGUAAAGAAGGCAUUCUCUGGCGGAGCUUUGAUUCUCACCGAGAUGGAUGGGAAAGAGUUACCGAAUCAAGUGAACUUAGAUGCUGUAAAGAAAUAUUAUGCUUGAAAAAGGAAACCAAGAUGAAAACCCGAAAAAGGGCAUCUUAAAAAAAAAGAAAAAAAGAAAAAAGGGGGAUCAAGGUGAAAACCCGAAAAGGGCGUCUUGAUUAAACACAAAAGAUUAGGAUGAAAACCCAAAAGGGCAUUCUAAUGAAGCAAACCCGGGCUUAAAGAACAAGGCGUUUCGAACGGUGGGUCAAACAGUGAGACUACAAUAUUUGAAGUAUUUAUUAAAGCUUGAAAUCUUCUACGCAAGAAGCCAUGCUCGAAAAGAUUCUAGAUGAAGGAACGUAGAAGAGUUCAUGUGUUGAAUAUCUAGAGCAUUUGUAUCCAUUGAAUGUGAUCCCUUUUCUCUUUACGACACUUUUUACUAUCAUUGAUUAACUUUCUUUGUUUGCUACAUUUGAAAUAAAUAAAUGUGAGGUAGCCUUUUUAUCCUUACCUGACUAUUUUCAUGUAUCUCAUUGUGUGUGUCAUUUACAUGAUAAAUAGUGAAAUGACAUACUCUAAACAAAAGAAAUGUUAAGCAUUACCCGGAUAAGAAUUUGAUAAGUACAAGAGCCUCAGAGCAAGGACAGAGUUCAACCAAGGGCAAAAGAGUGAUAUCUGAGAAACGCAGAUUAUUCGUGAAGCAUGAGGACGGGUACAAGGUCUGAAGAGAAAGUCGAGAAUCAAAGCAAUGAACGCAGAUCCUCAACAACCGUGGCGAAAAGGACAUGCGACAAACAUGCUUAAGGAGCACUGCAUAAUCAUGUAGGCAUAAAGGCAUUUAAGACAAACAUGUGCAUAUCAUGAUAACAUCAUGCAUGGCAUAUACAGGUAAUCCAGUAGAGCAAGAGGACGUGAUGAUAGCUGUACUGAAUCAAAGAAAAAACACCUGGGUUCUACCGAAUGACAGGUUUUGGUAUUUUGAUGUUUUCUGUUCUCAGAAAUCGACUCAUAUUGCGAGAAGCGAGUUGAGCAUUUUAAUUUCUAUUUUUUAAAAAUCAACUCAUAUUGCGAGAGGUGAGUUGAGCCUCGAGACACAUGGAGGUAUUUUCAGUUUUUAUUUUUCAAAAAUCAACUUAUAUUGCGAGAUGUGAGUUGAGCCUUUUAAUUUCUGUUUUUCAAAAAUCAACUUAUAUUGCGAGAGGUGAGUUGAGCCUCAGGAUACGCUGAGGUAAUUUCAUUUCUGUUUUUCAAAAAUCAACUCAUAUUGCGAGAGGUGAGUUGAGCCUCGAGACACAUUGAGGUAUUUUCAGUUUUUAUUUUUCAAAAAAUCAACUUAUAUUGCGAGAGGUGAGUUGAGCCUUUUAAUUUCUGUUUUUCAAAAAUCAACUUAUAUUGCGAGAGGUGAGUUGAGCCUCAGGAUACACUGAGGUAAUUUCAAUUUCUGUCUUUAAUUUCUGUUUUUCAAAAAUUAACUCAUAUUGCGAGAGGUGAGUUGAGCCUUUUAAUUUCUGUUUUUCAAAAAUCAACUCAUAUUGCAAGAAGUGAGUUGAGCCUUUUAAUUUCUGUUUUUCAAAAAUCAACUCAUUUUGCGAGAAGUGAGUUGAGCCUCGAGACACAUUGAGGUAUUUUCAGUUUUUAUUUUUCAAAAAUCAACUUAUAUUGCGAGAAAUGAGUCGAGCUUAAUGUCGCAUGCCGAGCAAAGAAUAAAGAUUGAAGCUGAUGGAAGACACCAGAUUUGGAUCCUCUGAAGUUGCAUUGGAGCAGGUCAAAGUUGCAAGUCUUGUCCCCCUGGAGUUACAGUGGAACUGAUCAAGGAUAUCAAAUCUUGCAUUUCUAAAGUUACAGAAGAAAAGACGACAAACCCUAUCUCACUGAAGCAAUAGAAGAACAGAUUGAAGCUGUAGACCUCAUCUUUCUGAAGCUGCAUGAAAGCAAAUCGAAGCCACAAAUCUUAUAUUCUUGAAGUUACAAGGCAUAUAUCAGCAGAUGCAGUGGAUUGAAUCCAAAGCUACAAGAUGCAGUGGACUAGAAUGAGGGUACCUGAAGAAAAGAAGGGCACCAAAGAAGUCGAGACUUAGCAAGACUGGGCAAAAUUGGCCUUCCUUUGUGUCUUUGCUAGAUUUUCGUUACACGACAAUGAGCAAAGAGGGGCAGCUGUUAUAGGCCAAUUUUGGGCCAUUUUUUAAGAUAACUCGGGCCCAGUUACAUUUACAAAUUAAACCCAAUACAAAGUGGUCCACAAUAGCCCAAUACAUUACCCAAAACAACAAAAACCCAUCAGACCAAAUACAACUAACCCCUACCUAAUACCAUUAACCCAUUUAAACCCUCAAACCCAUUAAACCCUAACCCAACAUCAGACCCAAUACAAAACAGCCCAAAUUGAACCCAAACUAACCUAAACCCAAAACCCGGCAAGCUCACUGACCCAAUAACCCUAAAUCCCAUCAGCUAACCUUAACCCUAACCUGCAACGCCGCAACCACCCCCACUUGCCCCUGAUUAACCGGCCACCUACCCUCUGACAGCGCCACUCCCUGCACCACCGGUCAUCUCCAUCGCCAUUGACCUUCAAGAAAGAGACAAAAACAAUAUUAUAAUGAAUGUAAAGGGUUAUAAAACCCGAAUGAAAUUUGUAAAAGGGGGGUUCUUUUUUUUUCGAAUAUUCAAAAAAAAAACCUAAACAAUACAAACACAAAUCUAUAUUGAGAAGCAAUCCAAUCCAUAUCCAAGCAAAAGAAUAGAACAAGGUCAAACACAAUAUCAAGAAAUCGAAGAGCAAAAAAAGAAGAGGUUGAUCUAUUCUCUUUUUCUUUCGAUUUUGUUUCUUUUAUUUUUCAUAUUACAAAUUUAUUAAUUUCAAACAACGAAUAAUAAAAGAAAAGGGACUCACCUAAACCCCGAAGACGCGAGGAUUGAACUCUUGCUCCGUCGUAGGAAUCGUCCUCAAAAGGGAAGACGGGGUUCCUUCUUUCACGCUCUUGAGGUUAAAAGAGCAUUGUAUUUGGAUGUUCUAAUGACCAGGAUUAAAAACCCCUCUUCGAGCAACUCCGAUCGCCCCUUACGGCGACGUGACGGCGGUGGCAACGCUGGGUUCUCUAACCCUAGCAGAGAAAGAAUAUGAAAAGGGGGGAGGGGUGUUCUGUUUAGGAAAAUGAAAUAAAA
rnacentral:lncRNA from 1 species